ACGCCAAGGACACGCUUUCGAUAAAAGAAUCGCGCGGGUUGCCUGUUGCCACUGCGGUCUUUGCCUUCAAAUAGCGAGAAGAAUGUGACACGUGAAAUGUUUGGUCGACGAGCCUCACCUUCACAUGAAGAGGCCGUACACCCUGAGCAUUGGCACAUUUGAGGACCUUAAACAAGCCAUUGCGGUGUGGCCCCAUCUUGGGAAACCUCGUCGCGCUGUCUACGUCUAGAUUUUCAGGUUAUGGACAUGAACUUUGAUGAGUACGUCGACCUUGGCCCUGGUGAUGAUAUACCACACAUGGCAAAGAUUAAAUUGACUGCCUUUCAGUCGCCCACCUCUGGAUGGCUCGUCAUCAUCGACAUGUGAUGUUGAGAAUGCUGAAGAGCAGGGGCCUGAAGAGAGCAGCUCUCUUGAUCUUCAAGAAGCUUCGGGCAUCGAACGUACUGAACCGACUCGUGGAAGAUAGCGCUCGGAAACAAAUUCAAGAAUGCAAGGAGGCAUAUGACAGGAGAUGAGCGCCUAAAGGAGAAUAGACAGAAGUUUGCCACAAAGAAGACAUCCACAAGGGAAUUGGAUGACAAACUCCGAAGGAACAAGAAGGCGAAGAUGGGAGGGAGCGUUCCAAUAACACCCUGUAUUUUGUACGAUGGGGCUGAUCUUCCAUAUGCAAGGAACCUUUCGCUCCAUGCAGACAAAGAACUCAUGUUCCGUAUGUCGAACGGUGAAGAAAGGGUACUUGUACUGAUGUCAGCACAUUGGCUCCUGAAUGUAGAGUACGCCCGGAAGGCCUUCAACGUUCUUGUGACCAUGGAAUGGCUGCUACUCGGUCAGCGAUCAACCUCACCAAGAACACCAGUUGUUAAGCUGUUGAACGUUUUCAAAAAAGCUACAAAAUAGGCCUUAGCUUCCGCAGGGACAAAAUCCAAAAAACAUAUAUUGAAAACACAAAUAACUACUCAAUGCAUGAUGAAAAUAUUACUGUUAGUAUAAAUUCAAUUUUAUCGCGUGUGGUACAUGUGACACAUGUGACAAAAUCUAGUUUAUACAAAAGUAAUCUUUUCAUCAUGUAAUGUGUAGUUAUUUGUUUUUGAAUAUACAGAAAAGAUUACUGUAGUGAUACUGGCACUUCAUUUCAACUUAUUUUUUGCUCCAGUUUCUUGUGACAUGUUAUGAGUCAUUUUGUUCCUGCGGAUUUUCAGCAUGUUCUCACAGGUCUUUUUGACUCAGUGCUCUGUGACUUUUUUGCAGCAUGUAUAGUAACCUUGAUCAUUUGCUGAAAUUUUAGCAUAACAAAACUGCCAGUACUUGUCAGUAAAAUCAGUGUAUCGACUAUUGUUUUGGAAUUUAUGUUAGUUUUAUGACAAUCUUUUAGUUUUGCAACGAUUUUUCUUAAAACAAAUAAAUACUCAUAUUUCAUUCAA